AGUGGCGGACGGGUGAGUAACACGUAGGUAACCUGCCCCGGAGCGGGGGAUAACAUUUGGAAACAGAUGCUAAUACCGCAUAACAACAAAAGCCACAUGGCUUUUGUUUGAAAGAUGGCUUUGGCUAUCACUCUGGGAUGGACCUGCGGUGCAUUAGCUAGUUGGUAAGGUAACGGCUUACCAAGGCGAUGAUGCAUAGCCGAGUUGAAAGACUGAUCGGCCACAAUGGAACUGAGACACGGUCCAUACUCCUACGGGAGGCAGCAGUAGGGAAUCUUCCACAAUGGGCGCAAGCCUGAUGGAGCAACACCGCGUGAGUGAAGAAGGGUUUCGGCUCGUAAAGCUCUGUUGUUGGAGAAGAACGUGCGUGAGAGUAACUGUUCACGCAGUGACGGUAUCCAACCAGAAAGUCACGGCUAACUACGUGCCAGCAGCCGCGGUAAUACGUAGGUGGCAAGCGUUAUCCGGAUUUAUUGGGCGUAAAGCGAGCGCAGGCGGUUGCUUAGGUCUGAUGUGAAAGCCUUCGGCUUAACCGAAGAAGUGCAUCGGAAACCGGGCGACUUGAGUGCAGAAGAGGACAGUGGAACUCCAUGUGUAGCGGUGGAAUGCGUAGAUAUAUGGAAGAACACCAGUGGCGAAGGCGGCUGUCUGGUCUGCAACUGACGCUGAGGCUCGAAAGCAUGGGUAGCGAACAAGAUUAGAUACCCUGGUAGUCCAUGCCGUAAACGAUGAGUGCUAGGUGU
rnacentral:rRNA from 1 species